rnacentral:lncRNA from 1 species
GUUGGUAGGAACAACGAUGUCGGCGAGGGCAGGGUGGUGUUGGUGGUGAUGGGAAUUGGGGGCAAUUGCGUGAAUGAAAAAUUAAACAAGAAUUACUGUAGCAUCGAGCUACUGUAACCGGGGGAGGGCUCCAGUUCUAUUUCCACUGUGUAACAGUGUUUAAGGCCGGGCCAAGCCUUAAUUUCCGGGCCUUCACUUUUGAGAAAUUGGGAUAUCAAACGGAGAGUUAA